CAGCCGCCGCGGUAACACGUAGGUGGCAAGCGUUGUCCGGAAUUAUUGGGCGUAAAGGGCUCGCAGGCGGUUUCUUAAGUCUGAUGUGAAAGCCCCCGGCUCAACCGGGGAGGGUCAUUGGAAACUGGGAAACUUGAGUGCAGAAGAGGAGAGUGGAAUUCCACGUGUAGCGGUGAAAUGCGUAGAGAUGUGGAGGAACACCAGUGGCGAAGGCGACUCUCUGGUCUGUAACUGACGCUGAGGAGCGAAAGCGCGGGGAGCGAACAGGAUUAGAUACCCCAGUAGUCCCUGUCUCUUAUAC
rnacentral:rRNA from 1 species